rnacentral:rRNA from 1 species
CAAUAGCGUAUAUUUAAGUUGUUGCAGUUAAAAAGCUCGUAGUUGGAUUUCGAGUGGGACGCAGCGGUCUCGCAUUGCGUUUGUACUGCUGCAGCCCUCCUUCUUGCCGGGGGCGGCCUCUCGGACUUCACUGUCUGGGGGUCAGAAUCGGCGAUGUUACUUUGAGUAAAUUAGAGUGUUCAAAGCAAGCUUACGCUCUGAAUAUAAUAGCAUGGGAUAACACGACAGGACUCUGGCCUAUCGUGUUGGUCUAUAGGACCAGAGUAAUGAUUAAGAGGGACAGUCGGGGGCAUUCGUAUUCCGUUGUCAGAGGUGAAAUUCUUGGAUUUACGGAAGACGAACAUCUGCGAAAGCAUUUGCCAAGGAUGUUUUCAUUGA